rnacentral:rRNA from 1 species
AUACGGAGGGUGCAAGCGUUACUCGGAAUCACUGGGCGUAAAGGACGCGGAGGCGGAUUGGAAAGUCAGAUGUGAAAUCCUACAGCUUAACUGUAGAACUGCAUUUGAAACUUCUAAUCUAGAGUAUGGGAGGGGGAGAUGGAAUUAGUGGUGUAGGGGUAAAAUCCGUAGAUAUCACUAGGAAUACCGAAAGCGAAGGCGAUCUCCUGGAACAUAACUGACGCUAAGGCGUGAAAGCGUGGGGAGUAAACGGGAUUAGAAACCCUAGUAGUCC